CGGCCACCAUGCCGCUGCAUGCGAGCCAGAUGCUGAGCCGCAACAUCCUGACCCUACUGCAGCACCUCAUCAAGGAGGGCGUGCUCGUCGUCAGCAUGGACGACGAGAUCACGGGCCCGAUGUGCCUGGUCCAUGCCGGCCAGGUCAGAUGAGCCGCCACUGGGAGAGUCGUUCAUGACCACCGAAGCGCUAAUCAUUGCCAUUGUCAUUUUCACCCUCUCGACGUUUCUUGGCGUCGAGCUGAUCGGACGCGUCCCGCCGACGCUUCAUACCCCGCUGAUGUCCGGCGCGAACGCCGUCAGCGGCAUCACGGUCGUGGGCGCGUUGAUCAUCGCGGGCAGCGACCUUGGGUGGCUGUCGACCUAUCUCGGCUUCGUCGCCAUUGUGCUGGCGAUGAUGAACGUGGUGGGUGGCUACGCGGUGACCGACCGGAUGCUGGGCAUGUUCAAGUCCGGGCCCGGGGAGAAACGCUGAUGCCCGGCUGGCUGAACCAGCUUCUCUACCUCGUCUCGGCCGUUCUCUUCAUCAUCGGCCUCAAGCGCCUGGGCAGCCCCGCCACGGCGCGACAGGGCAACAUGAUCUCCGGCGUGGGGAUGCUGAUCGCGAUCCUCGUCACGCUCGUCGAUCACGCCAUCGUGUCCUAUGGCGUGAUCGUUGCGGGCAUGGUGGUGGGCACCGCGCUGGGCCUCUGGCAGGCCUAUGCCGUGAAAAUGACCGCGAUGCCGCAAAUGGUGGCGCUGCUCAACGGCUUUGGCGGUGGCGCAUCAAUGGUCGUCGGCGCGGCCGAGUUCUUACGGGCAUUCGAGGCCGGCACGAACAUCCCGACGCCGACGGGCACCGUCAUGCAGCUCAGCUUGAUCAUCGGUGCGGUGACACUCACCGGCAGCCUCGUGGCGUUCGCAAAGCUGCAGGAGUUGAUGUCGGGCAAACCCAUCACGUUUCCGGGCCAGAACGCCUCGAACCUGAUCGUGUUCCUCGCCGUGCUGGCGCUGGCGGGUUGGCAGAUUUCAAC
rnacentral:misc_RNA from 1 species